rnacentral:rRNA from 1 species
UGCGCAGGCCGCCGUGUGUGUGAGGUGUGAAAUCCCGGAGCUUAACUCCGGAACUGCGCCUCAAACUACACGGCUAGAGCAUUGGAGAGGGAAGUGGAAUUCACGGUGUAGCAGUGAAAUGCGUAGAUAUCGUGAGGAACACCAGAGGCGAAGGCGACUUCCUGGACAAUUGCUGACGCUCAGGCACGAAAGCGUGGGGAGCAAAAGGGAUUAGAUACCCCUGUAGUCCACGCCCUAAACGGUGCACACUAGGUUUUGGAGGAUUCGACCCCUUCAGGACCCAAGCUAACGCGUUAAGUGUGCCGCCUGAGGACUACGGCCGCAAGGCUAAA